UGAUCCACCAUAAGUCGCGAAGAUGUAUUUGCUUCCUCGACUUGUGUGUUUUGCUUAUCUUCCAUUUCUUCUUCCCCAUGUUGUGUUUCAGUCACCACUUCUACAUCUGAACAAUGUGCUUUUUUCCCUUCUGUUACCAUUUGUUGAUGCUUUGUCGUUGCACUCUGUUUUUCACUUUCAAUCUAUGUACUAUGUUUUCCUAAAACAGAGUGUUGGGCCUCCUUCACCCACCUUCUUGUUCUCCUCUCUACAUAACAGAGGGAAGUUUCCCACUAGAUUCUCCAUUUGGCACAGUAUGUGCAUUUUGAUGGGAGCCAGACACAAAUUUAACAACAAUUGUCUUCUCUCGAAGUUGAAAGACAUGGUACUUUGAUUAAUCCUUGGCUAGAUCAACCUCAACGAACACUCUAGCUUCCUUAAAAUGUUUGCAGAACGCUGUGUUUGGAUGCAGUCUCUUUGGAAACUCAACCUUGCUCGCGACAAAGCUAAGCCCUUUUCAUAAACGUGUUGAGUUUGGAACUUAUUUUUAGCUACCCACAUUGGCACUAUCGUUGGCUCUUCUUGUUCUUCCUUCACAGUGACCGGAGCUCAUUGUGUUACAACCAUCGGAAUGUUGGCAAUAUUCCACAUACCUGUGCUCAAGAUCAUGUUUCUCAUUCUUUGAUCACAGAUUUGAAACGUCACCCUCAUCUCAUCCAUCUCAAACACAUCUAUUUUAACUUUUUAAUCCCCAAGGCCAAACUUUGUUCACAAUCACAUGGAUUUUUGCUACAUGGGGUGCUGCCGAAAGAAAGCGACAGACGAGAAAAUCUUUCCACAAUGGC
rnacentral:lncRNA from 1 species